GAUGAAGAACGUAGCGAAAUGCGAUACUUGGUGUGAAUUGCAGAAUCCCGUGAACCAUCGAGUCUUUGAACGCAAGUUGCGCCUCAAGCCAUUAGGUUGAGGGCACGUCUGCCUGGGCGUCACAUAUCGUUGCCUGAUGCCAGUUUCCUCGUGAUGGGUGACUGUGCAGGGCGAAUGAUGGCUUCCCGUGAGCAUUGUUGCCUCAUGGUUGGUUGAAAAUUGAGUCCUUGGUAGGGAGCGCCGUGAUAAAUGGUGGUUGAGUGACGAACGAGACCCAAUCAUGUGAGACCCCUACCGAAUUUGGCCUUCAUGACCAACAUGCGUCUUUGGAACGCUCAUGACGAGACCUCAGGUCAGGCGGGGCUACCCGCUGAGUUUAAGCAUAUCAAUAAGCGGAGA
rnacentral:misc_RNA from 1 species